rnacentral:rRNA from 1 species
GAUGAACGCUGACAGAAUGCUUAACACAUGCAAGUCAACUUGAAUUUGGGUUUUUAACUUAGGUUUGGGUGGCGGACGGGUGAGUAACGCGUAAAGAACUUGCCUCACAGCUAGGGACAACAUUUGGAAACGAAUGCUAAUACCUAAUAUUAUGAUAAUAGGGCAUCCUAUAAUUAUGAAAGCUAUAAGCGCUGUGAGAGAGCUUUGCGUCCCAUUAGCUAGUUGGAGAGGUAACUGCUCACCAAGGCGAUGAUGGGUAGCCGGCCUGAGAGGGUGAUCGGCCACAAGGGGACUGAGACACGGCCCUUACUCCUACGGGAGGCAGCAGUGGGGAAUAUUGGACAAUGGACCAAGAGUCUGAUCCAGCAAUUCUGUGUGCACGAUGAAGUUUUUCGGAAUGUAAAGUGCUUUCAGUUGGGAAGAAAGAAAUGACGGUACCAACAGAAGAAGUGACGGCUAAAUACGUGCCAGCAGCCGCGGUAAUACGUAUGUCACGAGCGUUAUCCGGAUUUAUUGGGCGUAAAGCGCGUCUAGGUGGUUAUGUAAGUCUGAUGUGAAAAUGCAGGGCUCAACUCUGUAUUGCGUUGGAUACUGUAUAACUAGAGUACUGGAGAGGUAAGCGGAGCUACUAGGUGUAGAGGUGAAAUUCGUAGAUAUUUGUAUGAAUGCCGAUGGGGGAAGCCUGCUUACUGGACAGAUACUGUACGCUGAUGCGCGAAAGCGUGGGGUAUGAAACAGGAUUAUAUACCCUGGUAUUCCAAGGGCGAAAUUCCACAGUGGAAUUUGCUUUUGCGAUCCGUGAUCUCUAGGGGGCCCCGGUUCCCAAAAUUAUGUUCCCUUUAGUAGAGUUAAUUAUGCUGUGGUGUACCUGUUUUUCUGCGGCUGGCUGAGUGUGUGUGCGUGCGUUUUCAUGUAUCUUCCGUAUGAUGUGAUCUGUUGUUUAUCUGCUAUUUAUAUUCAUACUUGUUGUUUUCCUUCUACCUGUGCCAUAGUGUGAUUGCCCUCCUACUGCUGCUCUUGACUGAUCACACUGCUGUAUGGUCUGUAGGGACCUGUCCUAGUCGCUGUAUCCCCCUGCUCUCUG